rnacentral:rRNA from 1 species
AUACGGAGGAUCCGAGCGUUAUCCGGAUUUAUUGGGUUUAAAGGGUGCGCAGGCGGCCAUUUAAGUCAGCGGUUAAAUCGUGGGGCUCAACCCCAUUCUGCCGUUGAUACUGGGUGGCUUGAUUGCGGUCGAGGUUGGCGGAAUUCGUUGUGUAGCGGUGAAAUGCAUAGAUAUGACGAAGAACACCGAUUGCGUAGGCAGCUGACCAGACCGCAAAUGACGCUCAUGCACGAAAGUGCGGGGAUCGAACAGGAUUAGAUACCCUGGUAGUCCGCACAGUAAACGAUGAAUACUUGUUUUCGGCGAUAUAAUGUCGGAGGCAAAGCGAAAGCGAUAAGUAUUCCACCUGGGGAGUACGUCGGCAACGGUGAAACUCAAAUGAAUUGACGGGG